CCCAGCUUUCCACUUCCACCUUCCUCAUUCAGUUUUUCUGAUAAUUUUUUGGUUCAGAGAAGAAGAAGAUCAUCAUCUAGCUAGCAAUCAAAAUUUUCAAAAUGGAGGCAAUUCAGUCUUGGGUUGCAGAGCACAAGCUCAAAGCCAUUGGAGCAAUAUGGGUAUCAGGAAUUGGAGCAUCUCUGGCUUAUUCACGAGCAAGAACACCUCUCAAGCCAAGCCUUAGGCUUAUACAUGCUAGAAUGCAUGCACAGGCCUUGACACUGGCUGUCCUAUCUGGCGCAGCAGCCUACCAUUAUUAUGAGAAGCAUGAAGCUGACCGCCAAAAAGAAAAUUAAUCUUUCUUUUCUCCAAAUUAAUAUGCAGCCAGCCCAGCCACCAGGCAGGCAAUCAGAGCUCCAUCAGACCAUUUCUAUUAAUUAUUAAGUUGAUCUUAAUUAGGAGUUAAUCUGAACAUUUCUUAUUUCUAGCUACGUUGUCUCUAAAUGAAAUGUUCCGUCUUAGUUUCUUUAUUUUCCUAUGUUUUCCCCUGUUACUAGUUGUUGUAUAAUACAUUAUAUUUAUAUAUAAAAAUACCAAUUUUGGUUUGUCAA